CCUCAGUGCUGCUUGAAUUUAUCUGCGAGAGCCACGUGACGGCCCAUAAACACACACAGCAGCUGCUGCUAAGAAAAUGAGAGCGAUGGAGAGAGAGAGAGAGAAGUUUGUCAAUGUCCGGAUCUAGUUGGAGGCACUUGAAGGCACCACGUCUGCUUUGCACUGCUUUACGACACUGCUCGCAGUGAAAUCAAGACCUACGGCAGCAGAAAGCUGAUAGCCCACUGCAACGACCGUGCUUCUGCAUAAGGACAAAACACCACCCGACACCACCUGUCCUGUGUCAGUUUGGGCUGCUAAGCAAGUACAGUAUACCGCUUCUUAGACCACCGGGUAUUGCCAAGAUCUUCUUUUCAAAGGACAAACUCAAAGUCACUUAAUCCUCGUAAUUUUAACAAGUGAUGGCCACCAUAUGCUGAUUUAAUGCAAAUACUGACUAUUUUUGGUGUGUAGGUGUAGGAUUUUGAUGAAAACAUGCAUGACUGUCCCACGGUAAUGCAAACAGCUGCUGCAGGUGACCAGUGUGCUGCUGAAUGAUACGGAGCUUGUUGUUGGUCCAGUUUUUUAGUUACCGGACUGAUGAGUGUGAUGUAAUUUUUUCAAUACUUAUCUUGCAUUCUCAAGCUGUUACCAUAUAUUAUCUGGAAAAGAACACAUGAUAGUGACUAGUUAAGAAAAAGGUUAACAGUUUGCUAGUAAUAUGAGGUCUAGUUAUGUCCAGAGGUGGUAGCUUAGUGAGCUUAUGCUAACACCGCUAGUUUGGCACACCUGGCCACAUUUGAGAUGUGUGGUAUGCUAUCAUUACCCAAAACUGACGGUAAAAUUCUCAUUACCAAUUUGUAACUUCAAUCUCCCAUUUGACAAGGGAAUAGCGCCAUUCAGUGAAUCAUACCAGGAGAAAUAUGGCACCGAGAUCAAAUACUUUUUUGUUUAAUGUCACUUUUUACUGUCAGUGUUUUACAGGGUGUGACCAAAGAAAAGAGGGAAGAAAAAUGAUGGAGCACACAGGGAGCACAUUACUAGGGAUAAAUGACAGGUCUUUUCAGACCUUUUAAAGCUAAUAGCUUGAUCUUUUUGCAUACUUAGAAGAGAGUGCAGACUGCAACUAUUUGGGAAGUUUGUUCCCAGACUUUUCAUGUGGGGAAACUUGCAGAACAAAAGCAAGUAUACCAAACGAUCCUUGCUUAUCCAGCAUAAGACUUCUUGAGCCUUCACUGGCCUUGCCCUGCAGAGAUCCACAUAUUAAAAGAUGAUACUGGAAGAGAUCAGUAAACUAAGCAAGUGGGACCACCUGUCAGGGUCGUGGUUGCCAAUUCCGGUUGCACGGCUGCUCCUGGCAGCAGCUCCUCACCUGCGCUUCAUAGGUACGUAUGAUGCCUUGUAUUUAAGCCUCGCGUGUGGUGUCACUAGUUGUCAGUUUGUUCGGUUGCGAGCAAGCGGCAUGGGGUAAGACCCAAAGGCAGGACUCCGAGGCAGUGGCAUGGUUUUCGAGGGUGGUUUAAUUCCACCCAGAGUUCAUAGACAAGUAAGCAGUCCAAAAAGGCAGAAGCACAAAAACACGUUGCAGAAGACAAGGUCCAAAAACGUGAAAACAAGGUCGGAUUAAGGUCAACAAGGCAAAAAACUUGAAACAUGAAAAAAAGACUUGACUGUGGUGGCACAGGAACAUGGCAAAGAGGUAAAUACACCAGCAAGAAGCUCGUAAACUCACGAUAGACACACAAACAACUGGCAGAGGCAGUCCAAGCAUGGUGAUCUUGCGCCAUGUUCCAGCCGUGAAGGCUGACGAUUUGGGGGCCGACGAUGCCUGCCAGGUCAUCCUAGAGUGUGGUUUCCCACCUGUUUAAAUGCCCACCCACCACAUUCGCAAGAUUGAAGGGGGCCAGUUACAGGACUUCACGCAUCAGUUUGCCAGAGGGAUCACCAGGUAGUGUGACCAAAUCCCCAUAGGUGAUGUUUGCAGGGAAAUACGGGCGACAUCACAGUCAGCAUUGUUGCCGUAGGGUUGCUACGGGGAUACGGCACUGGCAGCAACAGCGAAGGAUGCACCUCGGGCACUCAUUGUCAAGGACUUCCAGUUUCCGCAUUUCUCAUUCGCUAUGUCUUGCCUUAGUACAACACAAUGGUAUUGGUCACAUUGGUAUCGUUGCAGUGUUGUGUUUACUUGUUUAAAGAAAUCUUUCAAGGUCAAAUGUUCCUGUUCUUUUAGCACAUAUUUUCCCUUUAAUUCUUGGUCACCUUUUUUCAUUAGUUUUCUUAAGAUUUGUUUUUGCAGAAGGGGAGUCAUUGAAAUGGUAUUCAUGCUCACAGUAGUACAAGGAAGCGGCAGUAAUGGCUGUCACAGACGAGCACGCCUCACUGAACUGAAGACAACAUUUUCCGUCCGACCGGCUGCAGGGGAUGUUUGCUGUUACGUAAGCCACACAUGACAGUGUCACACGUGAGCGCCCUGAUGGAACGUUUAAAGACACUUGGGAAGGGAUUCAAUAAAAGGUUCUGCGUGCUUCCGGAGAGUGUUUAGACACCAUUGUAAUCAAUUUUUUCCGGAAUGGCUUUGAACUUGAAAGCUUCUCUUGAGAUGUUAAAAGCCUGACUGUUUACUUCGUACCUUCCUUAGCUCUCAGACGUGUGAGUGUGAUUCACCAGGUCCCAGACACCAUCCAGUUGUACAUUAAAUGACGAAAUCCCCCUCACAUAUGACUGAGCUUUCCACAGUUCUCCAUUUACAUUAAUGAAGUGUGGGGAGGCUAAUGAUAAAUUGAGAUGUAUUUAUGCCUAAGUAGCUUUUUAAGAGUCCUUGGUUUAUGACUGUAUCGCCAUUUUGAGGUUAACGGUGAACUCAAUGAAGAUACCUCAAGCAAGCCUUACACGAAAUCCUCUCUUGUCCUGAUCACCUUUGCCUACCAACAUACAUAUUUUUCCCCAUUUUCAUUUUAUAAUACAGUGGGCGCGAUCCACCCGCGUUACCAUCUCCACAGAAAUAAAUGUAUUCACUUACAUUAGACUUGACCAGAUAAAUCCCACUGAUUGUAAAAAAUGGGAUGCUCUGCUAUCAGAAUACUAGAUUUUAUUACAGUAGUCUGACAUACAGUAGUACAAUCGUGAAAGAGGAAUUUGUUUUGUAGUCUGAUCCGCGCAUUACGUGUUCUCUCUUAGCUGUCUUCUCUCAGCUGAGUUUUUUUUAAAUAACUUUAUUGGUCGUCAGAUAUUUACAAAAGACAAAAAAAGUUGAGAGCUCGUGUACCUACGUCAUAAAAUCCCGUGACAUUUGUUUACCUCGCCAUAUUGCCGGUCAAACUAAGCAUUGCUCAAUGCUAAGUCGGUUGGAGACGACACGGAAAUAAGUCUUGUAGCACGACUCCCAGAGUCUUGUCCAAUACCGUCAGACAUUUAGAAGGUGAAAAUAAACAACGCUACGUGGGAAAAUUAGAUAAA